ACCGAAGUGACUCUGCCAAAGAGUCUAAGUGAAGUGCCAUUACCGUGCAGACGGUCUACGUGCAGCACCCCAUCACCUUUUUGGACCGCCCUAUCCAAAUGUGUUGUCCUUCCUGCAACAAGAUGAUCGUGAGUCAGCUGUCCUAUAACGCCGGUGCUCUGACCUGGCUGUCCUGCGGGAGCCUGUGCCUGCUGGGGUGCAUAGCGGGCUGCUGCUUCAUCCCCUUCUGCGUGGAUGCCCUGCAGGACGUGGACCAUUACUGUCCCAACUGCAGAGCUCUCCUGGGCACCUACAAGCGUUUGUAGGACUCAGCCAGACGUGGAGGGAGCCGGGUGCCGCAGGAAGUCCUUUCCACCUCUCAUCCAGCUUCACGCCUGGUGGAGGUUCUGCCCUGGUGGUCUCACCUCUCCAGGGGGCCCACCUUCAUGUCUUCUUUUGGGGGGAAUACGUCGCAAAACUAACAAAUCUCCAAACCCCAGAAAUUGCUGCUUGGAGUCGUGCAUAGGACUUGCAAAGACAUUCCCCUUGAGUGUCAGUUCCACGGUUUCCUGCCUCCCUGAGACCCUGAGUCCUGCCAUCUAA
rnacentral:lncRNA from 1 species